rnacentral:rRNA from 1 species
UACGUAGGUGGCAAGCGUUGCCCGGAUUUACUGGGCGUAAAGGGCGUGCAGGCGGUUUGUUAAGUGCAGGGUGAAAGCUCCCGGCUCAACUGGGAGAGGUCCUUGCAUACUGGCAAACUCGAGGGAGGCAGAGGAAAGUGGAAUUCCCGGUGUAGUGGUGAUAUGCGUAGAUAUCGGGAGGAACACCUGUGGCGAAGGCGGCUCUCUGGGCCUUACCUGACGCUGAGACGCGAAAGCGUGGGGAGCGAACCGG